GACAGAGGGUGCAAACGUUGUUCGGAAUUACUGGGCGUAAAGCGCGUGUAGGCUGCUUCGCAAGUCGGGCGUGAAAGCCCUGGGCUCAACCUAGGAAGUGCACUCGAAACUGCGAAGCUCGAGUCCUGGAGAGGAAGGCGGAAUUCUCGGUGUAGAGGUGAAAUUCGUAGAUAUCGAGAGGAACACUGGUGGCGAAGGCGGCCUUCUGGACAGUGACUGACGCUGAGACGCGAAAGCGUGGGGAGCAAACAGG
rnacentral:rRNA from 1 species